rnacentral:rRNA from 1 species
GUGGGGAAUAUUGGGCAAUGGGCGCAAGCCUGACCCAGCAACGCCGCGUGAAGGAAGAAGGCUUUCGGGUUGUAAACUUCUUUUGUCAGGGACGAAGCAAGUGACGGUACCUGACGAAUAAGCCACGGCUAACUACGUGCCAGCAGCCGCGGUAAUACGUAGGUGGCAAGCGUUAUCCGGAUUUACUGGGUGUAAAGGGCGUGUAGGCGGGGAAGCAAGUCAGAUGUGAAAACCACGGGCUCAACCUGUGGCCUGCAUUUGAAACUGUUUUUCUUGAGUGCUGGAGAGGCAAUCGGAAUUCCGUGUGUAGCGGUGAAAUGCGUAGAUAUACGGAGGAACACCAGUGGCGAAGGCGGAUUGCUGGACAGUAACUGACGCUGAGGCGCGAAAGCGUGGGGAGCAAACAGG